rnacentral:rRNA from 1 species
CCUACGGGAGGCAGCAGUGAGGAAUAUUGGUCAAUGGGCGCGAGCCUGAACCAGCCAAGUAGCGUGAAGGAUGACUGCCCUACGGGUUGUAAACUUCUUUUAUAAAGGAAUAAAGUGAGGCACGUGUGCCUUUUUGUACGUACUUUAUGAAUCAGGAUGGGCUAACUCCGCGCCAGCAGCCGCGGUAAUACGGAGGGACCGAGCGUUAUCCGGAUUUAUUGGGUUUAAAGGGAGCGUAGAUGGGUUGUUAAGUCAGUUGUGAAAGUUUGGGGCUCAACUGUAAAAUUGCAAUUGAUACUGGCAGCCUUGAGUACAGUUGAGGUAGGCGGAAUUCGUGGUGUAGCGGUGAAAUGCUUAGAUAUCACGAAGAACUCCGAUUGCGAAGGCAGCCUACUAAACUGCCACUGACAUUGAUGCUCGAAAGUGUGGGGAGCAAACAGGAUUAGAUACCCUGGUAGUC